UAAUUUUAUGUAUUAAUUUUUUUAUAUUUUUAUUUUAUAUAUUAUUAAUUAUUAUAUUAUUAAAUUAUUUUUUGUUUCAAGAUAAAAAAAUAAAAAUGAUAUCUCUCUAAUUAUCUUUUCUCUCGCAUUUCAAAGUAAAAAAAAUAGUACACAGUAAUUAUAGUAAUUAGUUACUAAUAAUACUGAUAAAAUUCAUAAAAAAAUAAAAACAAAACAGUAUUAAAAAAUCCUCAAAACCCUCUAAUAUAGUUUCAAUUCUUCUUCAUUAUCGU
rnacentral:lncRNA from 1 species